rnacentral:rRNA from 1 species
UACGUAGGGUGCGAGCGUUAAUCGGAAUUACUGGGCGUAAAGCGCACGUAGGCGGUUUCUUAAGUCGGGGGUGAAAUCCUGGAGCUCAACUCCAGAACUGCCUUCGAUACUGGGAGACUUGAGUUCGGGAGAGGUGAGUGGAACUGCGAGUGUAGAGGUGAAAUUCGUAGAUAUUCGCAAGAACACCAGUGGCGAAGGCGGCUCACUGGCCCGAUACUGACGCUGAGGUGCGAAAGCGUGGGGAGCAAACAGG